GAUGAACGCUAGCUACAGGCUUAACACAUGCAAGUCGAGGAGAAACGAUAGAGAAAGCUUGCUUUUUCUAGGCGUCGACCGGCGCACGGGUGAGUAACGCGUAUCCAACCUGCCCACCACUUGGGGAUAACCUUGCGAAAGUAAGACUAAUACCCAAUGACGUCCAUAGAAGACAUCUGAAAUGGAUUAAAGAUUUAUCGGUGAUGGAUGGGGAUGCGUCUGAUUAGCUUGGUGGCGGGGUAACGGCCCACCAAGGCGACGAUCAGUAGGGGUUCUGAGAGGAAGGUCCCCCACAUUGGAACUGAGACAAGGUCCAAACUCCUACGGGAGGCAGCAGUGAGGAAUAUUGGUCAAUGGGCGAGAGCCUGAACCAGCCAAGUAGCGUGCAGGAUGACGGACCUAUGGGUUGUAAACUGCUUUUAUAAGGGAAUAAAGUGGGAGUCGUGACUCCUUUUGCAUGUACCUUAUGAAUAAGGACCGGCUAAUUCCGUGCCAGCCGCCGCGGUAACAC
rnacentral:rRNA from 1 species